UGGGAUAGCUCAGUCAGAGCACGGGCCUCUCGAUCUUGGGGUCGUGGGUUCAAGCCCCACGUCGAGCAAAA